rnacentral:tRNA from 1 species
GCCGGGGUAGCUCAGUCGGUUAGAGCGUUGCUUUCAUAAGGCAAAAGUCGAGGGUUCGAGUCCCUCCCCCGGUA